rnacentral:rRNA from 1 species
UGGGGAAUUUUGGACAAUGGGCGAAAGCCUGAUCCAGCAAUGCCGCGUGUGUGAAGAAGGCCUUCGGGUUGUAAAGCACUUUUGUCCGGAAAGAAAUGGCUCUGGUUAAUACCUGGGGUCGAUGACGGUACCGGAAGAAUAAGGACCGGCUAACUACGUGCCAGCAGCCGCGGUAAUACGUAGGGUCCAAGCGUUAAUCGGAAUUACUGGGCGUAAAGCGUGCGCAGGCGGUUGUGCAAGACCGAUGUGAAAUCCCCGAGCUUAACUUGGGAAUUGCAUUGGUGACUGCACGGCUAGAGUGUGUCAGAGGAGGGUAGAAUGCCACGUGUAGCAGUGAAAUGCGUAGAGAUGUGGAGGAAUACCGAUGGCGAAGGCAGCCCCCUGGGAUAACACUGACGCUCAUGCACGAAAGCGUGGGGAGCAAACAGG